rnacentral:rRNA from 1 species
CGUAGGUGGCAAGCGUUGUCCGGAUUUAUUGGGCGUAAAGCGAGCGCAGGCGGUUUCUUAAGUCUGAUGUGAAAGCCCCCGGCUCAACCGGGGGAGGGUCAUUGGAAACUGGGAGACUUGAGUGCAGAAGAGGAGAGUGGAAUUCCAUGUGUAGCGGUGAAAUGCGUAGAUAUAUGGAGGAACACCAGUGGCGAAGGCGGCUCUCUGGUCUGUAACUGACGCUGAGGCUCGAAAGCGUGGGAGCGAACAGGAUU